GUCCACGCCGUAAACGAUGGAUACUAGCUGUUCGGGGCAACCUGAGUGGCUAAGCGAAAGUGAUAAGUAUCCCACCUGGGGAGUACGUUCGCAAGAAUGAAACUCAAAGGAAUUGACGGGGCCCGCACAAGCGGUGGAGCAUGUGGUUUAAUUCGAUGAUACGCGAGGAACCUUACCAAGGCUUAAAUGUAGAUUGACAGGUUUGGAAACAGACUUUUCUUCGGACAAUUUACAAGGUGCUGCAUGGUUGUCGU
rnacentral:rRNA from 1 species